GAUGAACGCUGGCGGCGUGCCUAAUACAUGCAAGUCGAACGAAACUUCUUUAUCACCGAGUGCUUGCACUCACCGAUAAAGAGUUGAGUGGCGAACGGGUGAGUAACACGUGGGCAACCUGCCCAAAAGAGGGGGAUAACACUUGGAAACAGGUGCUAAUACCGCAUAACCAUAGUUACCGCAUGGUAACUAUGUAAAAGGUGGCUAUACUACCGCUUUUGGAUGGGCCCGCGGCGCAUUAGCUAGUUGGUAGGGUAAAGGCUUACCAAGGCAAUGAUGCGUAGCUGAAUUGAGAGGUUGAUCGGCCACAUUGGGACUGAGACACGGCCCAAACUCCUACGGGAGGCAGCAGUAGGGAAUCUUCCACAAUGGGCGAAAGCCUGAUGGAGCAACGCCGCGUGGGUGAAGAAGGUCUUCGGAUCGUAAAACCCUGUUGUUAGAGAAGAAAGUGCGUGAGAGUAACUGUUCACGUUUCGACGGUAUCUAACCAGAAAGCCACGGCUAACUACGUG
rnacentral:rRNA from 1 species